rnacentral:rRNA from 1 species
GACGAACGCUGGCGGCGUGCUUAACACAUGCAAGUCGAACGGAAAGGCCCUGCUGUUGUGGGGUGCUCGAGUGGCGAACGGGUGAGUAACACGGGAGUAACCUGCCCGUGAGGUUGGGAUAACGUCAGGAAACUGGGGCUAAUACCGGGUAGGAGCUCCGGCUGCAUGGUGGGUGUUGGAAAGUUUCGGCGGUUGGGGAUGGAUUCGCGGCUUAUCAGCUUGUUGGUGGGGUAGUGGCUUACCAGGGCUUUGACGGGUAGCCGGCCUGAGAGGGUGACCGGCCACAUUGGGACUGAGAUACGGCCCAGACUCAUACGGGAGGCAGCAGUGGGGAAUAUUGCACAAUGGGCGGGAGCCUGAUGCAGCAAAGCCGCGUGCGGGAUGAGGGCCUUCGGGUUGUAAACCGCUUUCGCCUGUGCCGGAGAGUGAGUGACGGUAAUGGGUAAAGAAGCACCGGCUAACUACGUG